UAUCAAUAAGCVGAGGAAAAGAAACCAACAGGGAUUGCCUCAGUAACGGCGAGUGAAGCGGCAACAGCUCAAAUUUGAAAUCUGGCCUCGGCCCGAGUUGUAAUUUGCAGAGGAUGCUUCUGGCAACGUGCCUUCCGAGUCCCCUGGAACGGGGCGCCGGAGAGGGUGAGAGCCCCGUACGGUUGGACGCCGCGCCUGUGUGAAGCUCCUUCGACGAGUCGAGUAGUUUGGGAAUGCUGCUCUAAGCGGGAGGUAAAUUCCUUCUAAAGCUAAAUACCGGCCAGAGACCGAUAGCGCACAAGUAGAGUGAUCGAAAGAUGAAAAGCACUUUGGAAAGAGGGUUAAAAAGUACGUGAAAUUGCUGAAAGGGAAGCGCCUGCGACCAGACUCGCGCCGGGCGAAUCAUCCAGCGUUCUCGCUGGUGCACUUCGCCCGGUCCGGGCCAGCAUCGGUUCUACGGGGGGACAAAAGCCCGGGAAAUGUAGCUCCCUCCGGGGAGUGUUAUAGUCCCUCGCCUAAUACCCCCGCCGGGACCGAGGACCGCGCUUUACGCAAGGAUGCUGGCAUAAUGGUCGUCGGCG
rnacentral:rRNA from 1 species